rnacentral:rRNA from 1 species
UACAGAGGCCUCGAGCGUUAGGCGGAAUCACUGGGCUUAAAGCGUGUGUAGGCGGACUGGUAAGUACCUUGUGAAAUCCCACAGCUUAACUGUGGAACUGCUCGGUAUACUGCUGGUCUUGAGCCACUCAGGGGCUACCGGAACAAAUGGUGGAGCGGUGAAAUGCGUAGAUAUCAUUUGGAACGCCAAUGGUGAAAACAGGUAGCUGGGGGUGUGCUGACGCUGAGACGCGAAAGCGUGGGGAGCAAACAGG